UACGGGGGGGGCAAGCGUUGUUCGGAAUUACUGGGCGUAAAGGGCGCGUAGGCGGUUCGCUAAGUUGGAUGUGAAAACUCUGGGCUCAACCCAGAGCCUGCAUCCAAAACUGGCGGGCUAGAGUUCUGGAGGGGGUAGCGGAAUUCCUGGUGUAGCGGUGAAAUGCGUAGAUAUCAGGAGGAACACCGGUGGCGAAGGCGGCUACCUGGACAGAAACUGACGCUGAGGCGCGAAAGCUAGGGGAGCAAACGGG
rnacentral:rRNA from 1 species